GAUGAACGCUGGCGGCGUGCUUAACACAUGCAAGUCGAACGGUGAAGCAGAGCUUGCUCUGUUGAUCAGUGGCGAACGGGUGAGUAACACGUGAGCAACCUGCCCCUGACUCUGGGUUAAGCGCUGGCAACGGCGUCUAAUACUGGCUAUGAGCUGCGACCGCCUGGUCAGCAGUUGGAAAGAUGUUUCGGUUUGGGAUGGUCUGACGGCCUAUCAGCUUGUUUGUGAGGUAAUGGCUCACCAAGGCUUCGACGGGUAGCCGGCCUGAGAGGGUGACCGGCCACACUGGGACUGAGACACGGCCCAGAAGCCUACGGGAGGCAGCAGGGGGGAAUAUUGCACAAUGGGCGAAAGCCUGAUGCAGCAACGCCGCGUGAGGGAUGACGGCCUUCGGGUUGUAAACCUCUUUUAGCAGGGAAGAAGAGAAAGUGACGGUACCUGCAGAAAAAGCGCCGGCUAACUACGUG
rnacentral:rRNA from 1 species